AUGAGAUCCUGGUAUGGGAGAUCCUCGUCCGCCUCGACCCCAAAUCCAUCCUCCGCAGCCGCGCCGUCCGCCGCGACUGGCGCUGCGCCACCACCAACCGCCGAUUCCUCCUGGCCCACCAUGCCCGCGAGCGUGCCCUCCCCAUCGUCUCCAGCGACGGUGACCGUAACAUCCUCACCUUCGACCAUCCGUGAUAGCUUGCAUUGGCACCCAGUGUGUUAUACCCCUGUGGAUGGGGAGAGUGCAUUUUUUCAGCUUGAAAGCAAACUAGUAAUUGUGUUCGACACAAUAGCUGAGUCGUUUCGGCAGAUCCGUGCUCCCCUUGCUCCUCCCACCAACUACUCAUGCAUCUUUGAGAUGGAUGACAUGCUUGGUAUCUAUAGCUGUGACAAGGCCAAGAAAAUUGUUGAUAUAUGGGUGCUGCACAACUAUGAAAGUGAGGUUUGGGACUUAAAGUACCAGGUUGAUUUGACAAUAGCAGAAAUCUGGGGGAAGUUUGAAGGCCUUAAUGGUGAUACCUAUUGGCAUGUGACCGUUGUUUCAGGUGAUGGUGACGUGCUCUUGCUGGUCAGGUUUGGUCAAUCGCAGAACUGGCUGUUUUAUGUUGACAUUGAUGGAAAACUGGUUGCUAGCUUCCAAGACUUAUAUGUUGGUGAAGGUUGGUUCAAACAAACUCUUGUUCGGCAUGAUUUCUUCACGACACUAGGAGGCCAUGCUGUGGAUGCUUCACCUUUCGUCUGA
rnacentral:rRNA from 1 species